rfam:Gossypium raimondii chromosome 6, whole genome shotgun sequence.
UGGUGCGAUCAUACCACCACUAAUGCAUCAGAUCUCAACAAAACUCCGCAGUUAAGCGCUCUUGGCGAGAAUCGUACUAGGAUAGGCGGUUUCUUGGGAAGUCCUCAUGUUGCACCCC